UACAGAGAUAGGAACCGAAGGGACAUAGUGAGUGAGAAGUGAUCAGAAGACAAGAGUGCAAGCCUUCUGUUAUGCCCGGACAGGGCCACCAGAGGGCUCCUUGGUCUAGUGGUAAUGCCAGCGUCUGGGAAGACGCCCAUUGCCAAGCAGACCGUGGUCUAGCAGUAGCAUCAGUGUCAAGGAAAAACACCCGCUACUUAGCAGACCGGGAAAGGGAGUCUCCCUUUCCCUGGGGGAGUUUAGAGGAGAUUCUACUCCUCCACCUCUUAUGGAGGGCCUGACAUCAGUCAGGCCCGCCCGCAGUUAUCCGGAGGCCUGACCCUGUCUCCCUGUGAUGCUGUGCUUCAGUGGUCACGCUCCUAGUCUGCUUUCAAGUUCCAUCCUGUACACCUGGCUCUGCCUUUUAGAUAACAGUAGCAAAAUUAAUGAAAGUACUAAAAGUCUCUGAUAUGCAGAAAUAAUGGCGUAAGCUGUCUCUCUCUCGCUCUCCCUCUCUCUGCCUCGGCUGCCAGGCAGGGAAGGGCCCCCUGUCCAGUGGACACGUGACUCACGUGACCUUAUCAAUCACUAGAGAUGACUCACACUCUUUACCCUGCCCCUUUUGCCUUGUAUCCAAUAAAUAACAGUGCAGCCAGGCAUUCGGGGCUACUACUGGUCUCUGCAUCUUGGUGGUAGUGGUCCCCCAGGCCCAGCUGUCUUUUAUCUCUUUGUCUUGUGUCUUUAUUUCUACAAUCUCUCGUCUCCACACAUGGGGAGAAAAACCCACUGACCCUGUGGGGCUGGUCCCUACAUCUUACCAUCAUGCAAGUCCCAUUAAGACAACUACAGUUUCGGCUGGGCGUGGUGGCUCACGCCUGUAAUCCCAGCACUUUGGGAGGCCCAGUGAGCCGAAAUCGUGCCACUGCACUCCAGGCUGGGUGACAGAGCGAGAUUCGUCUCAAAAAAAAAAAAGACAACUACAGUUUGUACAAGACUUAGGGCCAGUAAUGAAACAGUCUAGGACAUACACCCUAUGGUAACUAACCCCUAUAGCUUGCUGAUCACUUUGUCAGGAGAACUAGGUUGGUUUACAGAUUUGGACUGUAAAGAUGCCUUAUUUUGCAUUAGACAAGGAGACACAAGAGAUCUUUGAAUUUGAAUCUCUGAGGCUGGGACACAGGUCAAUCAGCAGUACUGUUAUCUCAAGGAUUUAAAAAUUCCCCCACAAUCUUUGGGAAAUUUUUGGCAUGGAACUUAACGGACAUCUGGCUGACAGAAGGAACGCUUUUACAAUAUGUGGAUGAAAUCUGUGUUGCAAGACCUUCAGAGCUUUCCUUGAAAAUACCAUUCAAAUACUGAAUUUCCUAGUGGUAACAGGCUACUGGGUUUCCAAAAAGAAAGCCCAGAUCUGCCAAAAGAUAGUAAAAUACUUAGGGUUUGAACUGAAUAAGGGGCAUAGAAACCUUCCCCCAGGCCACCUGGAGGCAAUCGUCUGGGUAGCUGUCCCCAUCUCCUGUAAACAACUGCAACGGUUUCUAGGAAUGAUGGGAUUCUGUUGAAUUUGGAUUUUGAAUUUUGGACUUACGGUAAAACUCCUUUAUGAGGCCCUAAAAGGAAAAAAUUCUGAGCCCCUGAUCUGGACUUCAGAAUGCCAAAAUUAAAAGUCAAAGAGGCUGAGCACGGUGGCUCAUGCUUGUAAUCCCAGCACUUUGGGAGGCCGAGGCAGUCAGAUCACUUGAGGUCAGGAGUUCGAGACCUGCCUGGCCUACACGGCAAAACCCUGUCUCUACUAAAAAAUACAAAAAUUAGCUGGGCAUCGUGGUGGGUGCCUGUAAUCCCAGCUGCUCAGGAGGUUGAGGCUGGAGAAUCCAGGAGGCAAAGGUUGCAGUGAGCUGAGAUCGUGUCACUGCACUCCAGCCUAAGUGACAAGAACAAAACUCCAUGUCAAAAAAAAUAAAUAAGUAAAUAAAAUAAAGUCAAAGAAAAGUUAAAGACUGCCUCUUUGCUGGGCCUUCCAGAUUUAAGAAAGCCCUCUAAUUUAGUUGUGCACAAAAAACAAGCCAUGGGCUUGGGUGUCCUAACUCAAAGCUUGGGAACUGACUGAAGACUGAUUGCCUAUUUCUCUGAACAGUUUGACCAGGUGGUGAGGGUUGGUCCCCCUGCCUCCGAGCAGUGGCUGCAACUUGCAACCUCUUCUAGGAGGCUGAAAAGCUAACUCUAGCUCAGCUCAUCACUGUCCACACACUGCAUCACAUCUCCUGUCUCUUAGAUCAAAAAGGUGGAUACUGGCUGACCUCUGAGAGGUUGGGAAAAUACCAAGCCAUCCACCCUCCUUGACAAUCCAGAGGUGAAGUUAAAGGUGUUCUCGGUUCUUAACUCUGCUACCUUAAUACCUCCAGAGAAGGAGCCAGGGCCCAUACAAAAUUGCCUUCCAAUUAAUGAGCAGGUCUUUCCAAGGCAACCAGACCUGGCAGAUCAGCCCCUGCUGUGCUCCAAACUAGGACUGUUCACAGAUGCAAGCAGCUUCAUGGACCAUGGACAUCAUCAUGCUGAAUUUGAGGUCAUUACCUUACAAGGAAUUAAGGAAGCCAAAGCCUUAUUGCUAGGCACCUCAGCUCAGUGGGCCAAGGUGCCCUUAUGCAUGCCCUCCAAUUGGGUAAGAAAAAAAAUUAUGAAUAUUUACAUAGACUCCCAAUAUGAUUUCUUGGUGGCACAUGCCCACAGAGCUAUGUAGAGAGAGGUCUUUUGACUAGCAAAAAUAAAGAAAUCAAAUAUACUUCUGAUAUUUUGGCCUUAUUAGAAUCUGUAAAAGGCCAGGCAUGGUGGCUCAUGCCUAUAAUCCCAGCACUUUGGGAGGCUGAGGCGGGUGAAUCACCUAAGGUCAGGAGUUCAAGACCAGCCUGGCCAACAUGGUGAAACCUCGUCUCUACUAAAAAAUAUAAAAAUUAGCCAGGCACGGUGACACAUGCCUGUAGUCCCAGCUACUUGGGAGGCUGAGGCAGGAGAAUCACUUGAACCCGGGAGGCAGAAGUUGCAGUGAGCCGAGAUUGUGCCACUGCACCCUAGCCUGAGCAACAGAGUGAGACUCUAUCUAAAAAAAAAAAAAAAAAAAAAAAAAAAAAAAAAAAAAUCAGUAAAUGCCCCCUCUAAUAGUGGCUAUCAUCCACUGUCCCAGCCAUCAAAAAGGAGACUCCCGAAUAGUCAAAGGAAAUUAGCUUGCCGACCUGGCAGCCAAGCAAGCCACAAAAACAUUGGACUCUGAGGCUUUCUUAGCCCCACUAAUACCUCACAAUGAUCUGACCAAGUUCCAACCUUGCUAUACCAAAGGAGAUUUAAAGUGAGCCAAGGAAUGGGGAUUCACAUCCCAGCCCUGGCCCAUCCAGGCUGGAAAUGUAAUCUGGAAGGUAUCGUAUUGGUUCCCAGUGCCCUCCUUAAAGAUAUAGUGAGCUAGUUUCAUCAAAGCAUCCAUUACAGAAAAGAUGCAACCCUUCAAUGGCAUGUGAGUUCUUGAUUGACCCCGACAUGCAAUGGGGUCAUUCAAAAUGUGAUCUAUCAAUGCAUGCUUUGUGCCCAAACUGCCCUAAAACUGACCCCACCCCUGUUCAAGGGUACAACAUUGAGGAGACUCUCCAUGCAAGGACUGGCAAGUUAAUUUCACCACAAUGCCACGGGUGCCUGGAGGCUACAGGGCAUCUUUUUGUACAAAAAACAUCUUUUUGUUUUUUGUAGACACAUUUACAGGAUGGGUAGAGGCAUACCCUAUCCGAACAGAAAGGGAGCUGAAGUGGCCCACACUAUACUAAAGAGAUAAUUCCCCAGUAUGAACUCCCUUUGACGAUUCAGAGUGACCAUGGUGCGGUGUUCAUCUCUCAGGUAGUACAGGAAGUGUCUCAAGUCCUAGACAUUGAAUGGAAACUUCAUGCAGCACAGCCACAGCCCACCGGAAAGACUAAAAAACUGAAUCAAACUAUUUAAAGAACAAUUAGGCCAGGUGUGGUGGCUUAUACCUGUAAUCCCAGCACUUUGGGAGGCCAAGGCAGGUGGAUUAUUUGAGCCCAGGAGUUUGAGACCAGCCUGGCCAACAUGGCAAACCCCAUCUCUACUAAAAAUACAAAAAAAUUAGCUGGACGUGGAGGCGCAUGCCCUUAGUCCCAGCUGCUUGGGAGGCUGAGGCACACGAAUUGCUUGAAGCCGGGAGGUAGAGAUUGCAGUGAGCCGUGAUCAUGCCACUCCACUCCAGCCUGGGCGACAGAGUGAGACUGUCUCAAAAACAAAAAAAACAAAAAAACAAAAAAAAAAAACUGCUGCUAAAGUGUGCCAGGAAACUAAUCUAACUUGGGACAAAGUACUACCUUCUCUCCUGCUGAGGAUUUGGGUCAUUCCCUGAAACAGGCUCUAGUUGAGCCCUUUAGAAAUUAUGUAUGAGAGACCCUUCCUAGCCACAUUGGGGCUAGAUCAGGCUAUAAAAUCUUAGAAAGGGAAGGAGCUAUUAGACAUUAUUUAAAAUUGCUAAAUGAAAUACCGACUUCUGUUCAUGAGUUUGCUUCUUCCCCAUGGACAGGCCACCUCACCCUUUCUAGGCUAGAGACCAAGUUCUACUUAAAACCUGGAGGGAGACUGGACUGAAUCACCAACUAGCCCCUCAAAGGGUAAGACCCUAUGAGGUCCUUCUGACCACGCAUUCAUCAAUUGGGCAGGAGUUAAACCGUGGGUACAUUAUACCUGGAUAAAAAUUGCCCCCGCCUCAGCCCGACCUAUCAGGUUAAUAGACCUGAAAGGACAUGUGAACCAACUAAAAACCUGAAGCUGCUUUUGAAGAAAACAUCCACAGAUAAGUAAAGCCUUCUUGCUAAGCACCACAGUACUAUAUGGCUUACGGUGUCUGCUGAAACCAAUCUUUUCCUACAAUGGGCACAUUAUGCAGAUAGCCUACAGAAGCUCGUAGGGUUUGAGGGCUGUUACCUAUCUCUAGCAUGUUGGUAUUACCUUGGUCGGUCUUGCUCUUACAAGGAAACAACUGAGUACAGUAACAAACUUUUAUGAAAAACUAUUCCAAAGAAAAUCAGGUCUCUGGUGUGCUAACACGAGGAAAUGUAAGGCUAUGGCCUGGCAUUAAUAUAACCCUUCACAACCCAGGUCACAGAAAAUCUUUUACUAUAUAUCAGACUGUUCAACGAACUUUUGAAUACACUGCUCCUCCUCUCCUGAAGGAAUUUCCCUUGGCAGCCCCCCAAAUUUUGGCUAUUAAUAGCCACUAUACUGAGGAAGGUUUUUAUCAAGCUUGGGAUGAUUAUCUUUGAAUGACUGUGUUCCCCUACCCUUAUCCUGCCACCGGCCACAUAAAUCAAAUUGCCCCUUUAUGUUGGGAACAACAACAAAAAAAAAAACAGCAUUCUUAUGAUAACUGGCCAAAUAUCACUAAGAAUAUGGGCUGGAUGCUCCCCCCACCAGUGUGAACAUACUCCAGGGCUGCAACAAACUGACUGGUUUGCUACCAAUUGGACACAGGCCAGGAAUUCAAUUGGCUAGCUUCAUACGGAGUGCAAUGGCUAUGUGGGACUAAUCUUUGGCCCUGAUUACCCAUUGGCUAGAUAGGACAAUAUGCUCUGGGAUUCUCACAGGUCCAGGGCCAUUUGGCAAAAACCAACGGACAACCUGGAAAUUUCCCAAAUGUGUUGCAUCAACGGACCAAGUCAGUUUUCCACUGGUAUGACCAUCCCCUCUCCAUUUUUGUUCCCCAAGUUAGUUUAAAAAAUGUUAUCUGACAUGUUGAGAUCCUAACAAAUUAUACCCAGCAUGUGCUGAAGGAUGCAUUCAAAGGCAUCUCUUUAGUCACCUCUCAGAUGACUAUGAUGAAAAAAGCAGUUUUGUAGAACCACAUGGCCCUUGAUGUCUUCACAGCUACACAAGGAGAACUUGUGCCAUAAUGAAAACUGAAUGCUAUGUGUACAUUCCAGACAAUUCAGGAAACAUCACCCUGGCCCUUCAAGAUAUGUACAAACUGAUGCUGUGUCCAACCUCAUGAUGUCACUAAACCAAUGAUUAUCUUAAUACUUCCGGUCAGUACCCUCUUGGUGGAAAAAAUUACUGGUAAUUCUAGCUAUGACUAUAGGAACAGGAAUACUCCUUGGCUGUGGAUUAUACUGCUGUGGCACUAUAUAUGUGGGAUUGCAAGAUCGCCCUUCUCAAGCUCCUGACACCCUGUUCAACAAUGUUACAACAAAAUUGCCUAAGUCCCGGGACAUGUGAAUAUUUUCAACUGCAGGUAAGUAAGUUCCAUUCCUCAGCCCCCUAGGAAUGCCCCUUGCCAGCGGGAAGUAGUUAGACUGAGUCAACACCCCAACUGAAGAUUGAGGAAAGGAACAGUGUCAGUGGGGAUACUGUAACCCAGCCUAUAUUAGAAAAAUCAUCAGGUGUUUAUUUUACUUAUUUUUCUUUCUCUGUCCUUAGCUUCCUCCAGGCAGGAUCGCUCGCACGUAGUCAUUUUGGUAGAGAGCAGUCACUAACAAGUGAUUAACUUUAUAUCCUAACCCCCAGGGGCUGCUUGCAAGAUUAACGUACUUGUUUUUCUUUUAAAGAACAAUGAUCCUUAGGUCAUACUGACCUCCCUGAUGGCAUCCAGAAAUUUGACUGGCCAAGGGACACGAGCAGCUUUGAUCAUCAGGGAAAGCCCCCAAUUACAUGCAAAGGAAGGUCAUAUUUGAGAAUCUGCUUCUCCCACCCUCAUACUUUGGCCAAAUUGAAUAAACCUUUCUAAGCAUUAAUGUGUCAGUGUUUGGCUUACUGUGCACCGGGUACAUGAACCUAACUUUUGGGGUUCUACAACAGCAACCUGACUGAGCUAAUCACGUACAGCCAAGAACAGCUGAGCUACAGUAGCUCCUUAAAAUCAGGGUCCAGAUGUUGUUCAUAGAUGAGAGAAGAGAAAAUAACUAUCACAUGCAGCAUCAGACAUUCAAUGACACAAAUCCUCAAAAUCAGAUGCUUUAAAAAAUGAAGCCAAUGGCUGGGCAUGGUGGCUCAUACCAGCCUGGGCAACAUGGCAAAACCUGGUCUCUAUUAAAAAAAAUACAAAAAAUUGGCCAGGCAUUGUA
rnacentral:lncRNA from 1 species